UUUGCAUUCAAGUUAGUCCGUUGUCGUUAACGGAGUAGAGAAUAUUAUUAACAUGUUUACUGUAUUAUCAGCAUUAAUUGUUAUUUUGGGGGCAUGUGUUUUAUGUUUACAUGUAAAACAUGAAAGAAAGUUUGGACAUUUACGGAAAAUAUUUCCAGGAUGCGUAUGGUUUCUAAACGUUAGAUUACAUCACUUAUUAAAUCCUGAAAAUGCACUCAAAAUUACUACAAAUGUAUACAAAUCCUUUAAAAACAAUGUAUUGUAUUUAAUGUAUCCACAUGCAAAGUUAUUACUUUAUGACCUCAAAUUAAUUGAUUUGGUUCUCAGUACAAAUAUGGAUAAAACGGUAGAAUAUUCAUUUAUUAAAUCAUGGCUCUCUGAAGGAAUUUUGACCUCCAAAUAUGACAAAUGGAAAGUUCAUAAAAAAACUUUUAGCUCCGGCAUUUAGCAUGAAAAAUCUCAUGAAUCACAUCGACGCUUUCAAUGAACAAUCUCUAGUGCUAUGUAAAAAAUUACAAGACAGAAUUGACCAACCAUCAUUCAAUAUUCAUAAGUAUAUUAACCUGUGCACAAUGGAUAUUAUUUUAAAUACUGCACUAGGUGCAGAUAUUAAAAUUCAAGAUAAUCCUACUUCGGAAUAUAUGACAAGUGCACAUACAA